AUAAGAGCCUUGAAAACGAGAACAUGUCUGGGCAUGUUCCCGCUUGCACAAAAAGGGAUUUUCCAGACUGAUGGUCCGCUCAGCGUUUCACACAACCCUGUGGUCAGAGAAAGCACAUGUUCUUGGCUAAAUACUCAUUUUUUUCAGAUCUUCAAACAUCUCAGACACCCCAUGUCACGUGCACAAGCCACGUGAGUGUCCAACUCUCUACAGAUGCGGGGUUGUGGCCUCAGGACAUGACCCUCAAACACCCGAUGUCACGUGUACAAGCCAUCUGUCUCAGCGAAGCCCUCGGGACGCUGUCACACCCACCAUCGACGCGGGGCCGGAUGGGAUCAUAUUCGCAGGUGACCCCGAACAUGAUGUCAUGUGACAAAAACGGCAGGAAAUAUGAUCUCACUUUGUUUUCACUGGAUGUGACAUCAUUUUGUUUUUUACCGGAUGUGACGUCAAUGGGGACAGUUGGGCCGGGAGGUGACAUCAUCGGACACGUGCGCUGGCACGCUGCCAAGUGAUGACGUCAUCGGCAACCCAUCAUUUUGUAGAUAUCCCUAUACUCUCCCUCUCUCGUAGGUUGUCAUUCUGCCAACUCCUCAUUUGAUCUGUCUCAUAUUAACGCCUUACGUACACCUAAUUACAGAUGUGCUCAUGAGUUGAAACACCCUGACAGAAUUUGUAAAAUGUUGGAAAGUUUUUAGAAAUAGGACCAAACCAUCUCGUGAUUUUCUUUGUCACUGUUUUGUGCUAUUCUGACAUGCUUUACAGUUUCAUUUGAAAAACCGUUCCAAAUCAAACAAAUAUUUGCCAACACAUCUUACUCAUUGGACCAGAUAAUGUAAACGAAUGAGUACAACUGCAGGAGGCUGUUAUGGAUGACAAAAGGAUACCGUAUUUGCCCACUCUAUGGCUCUGCAAGCACAAACAAGCUGGCAUGUUGGCACUGUUUUCAGACCUGGGGCCUCAUGUACAAAGACUUGCAUGAUGGGAGUACAUGUGGCUGACUAUGAUCACCCCACAAGGUUAAUACCUUGUAUUUUUCUAACUUAUAACAAAUGUGUUCAUACAGUAACCUACACUCAGCCCUGUGAGAUAAAGGUUCAUGCGUAAAUGUAUGUGUGGUAUUUGUAAUAAAUCUUUUGAAUUCAAAUAGAAGCACAUCAGGAUAUCAAAAACUUUGACUCCUUUUUGAUAACUCAAUUUAUUAUUUUAAUACACAGGAGAGAACAGUCACACACUGACAUAAAAAAUAAUGUUUUAUUUUUAAGAGAAGAGGGGUAAAUUAUGUCAAUUUAAACACAUUUUAAUCAUGUGAAACCGAUGCACAUGUUCAAAUUAAGUAAAUUUAAAGGACUUUUUUUCAGUGCAUGUGCUGGAGUCACAAAGUGAUUGUUCGGAUAAUAGGCGGCAUAAAUGAUCGCCUAUAUCAAUUAAUA